GUAGAUGUCCUAACCGACUUGCCAUAACUAUAGUUUUGUUAACAAGAAAUUUGUGGAGUGGUUGAAAAAUGAGUUUUAAUGACUACAACCUAAGUGUAUGUAAACUUCCGACUUCAACUAUAAGUGAACAUUGAGCACAGUGGAAAUUCCAUGCUUGCGCAGGGCACUUGCUUCAACCUGGCCUUAUUGUAUGUGCUUGAUUAUCUUUGCAUUGUGUUUUUAGAAAUGCCGAUAAUGUUGCUUGCCAAUGUUUGUACUGCACCCGUUUUGGUGGGCUCAAAGUUAUUUUGAAGCAACAACAUUAGCGGCGGCCAUCUUGUUUUCCCCUGCUCUAGCCUCAUCAGGAACUUUUGGGGGGGAGGAAGAAACAUUGAGGACAGAAGGUUUGUCUUUGUGUAAUGCCCUAGCUACUAUUUUAUACAAUCACAUAGAUGCAUAAAGGGGUGCCGCAUGAAACAUUCACAAACAUGUAUACAUAUGUAAAGUAUUUGUGUAUAUAAAUGGCAGGAUAUAUUGUUGAUGCGAAAUGGUGGAGAAAGCACAUGUGACGUUGUCCUAGGCUCUGUAGUGUAACCGUUGUAUAGGAAAGCAGAGUUUUAGCGGAGACUGAAACGGAGCAUGUUCUGAGAAUACAACUCUCUUCUCAGUGCCUCUGCAUGCAAAAGUCUAUAUUGUCUCGUCUGUAUACAACAUCCAAAACAUUUAAAAUAAAGGGAAAAAACGUCCCAUUUUAUUGUAAUGUUAAAGGGCAAUUCCACCACUUUUCAACCUCGUGUUCGUUAUCUCCAGCACAAUACCAGUGUCUACACGUGUGAAAAGGGUGCAUUUCUAUGUUUUGUAGAAAAAAUAUGAAGUGACAAAGUUCUACCCGAUGAUGUCAACCAUUUUGAAAACUAUGAUUUUCAAACACUGACAUUCGCGGUGACGUGGAGCAAGAAAAUAGCCUCCCUCUGGCUAGAAACUCGUAGGUUUUGAAAAUAGCCUCCCUCUGGCUAGAAACUCGUAGGUUUUGAAAAUAGCCUCCCUCUGGCUAGAAACUCGUAGGUUUUGAAAAUAGCCUCCCUCUGGCUAGAAACUCGUAGGUUUUGAAAAUAGCCUCCCUCUGGCUAGAAACUCGUAGGUUUUGAAAAUCACUGUUUUUCUUUACUUUUAAUCCUACCCUGUGAUGUCACUGAGAAGCAUUUCUUUAGGACACUUCUUCCUGUCUUUGCAACCACAGAUCACAGAAACAUGCCCUUUUCACAUAUCUAGACACCGGUAUGGUGCCGGAGAUCAUGAAUAUGAGUUUGAAAAAUGGUGGAUUUGCCCUUUUUUAAGCCUAAUUUUCAAUUUAUUGCAAUGUCAAAACGUUGAUUUGAAAUACAGCUUCAUGUUAGUUAUUUUCAUCAAAAUGUACAAGAUAUUGAGAGAAAUAGCUGACGUUUGUCGUACCUGUUGACCAUUGUUUUGUCCUAAAAGAUAUUGCAUUACAUAUGUGGGCAUUUGCAUUUUGUGAUGAGAGAACGAAAUUAGCUGUUAACAAAUGUACUGACUGUUAUCUCUGUUUUUAGGGGUUUGUUAGACCAAAGUUAUACAAGCCUACUUGUUUGUCAGAUAUAGACCACUCUACAGUGUCUAAGCCCAAAAUGUCUCCUCUUUACACAAGACGCUCACUAUCAUUCUAAACUGUACUUGUCUUUGCCGUUAAAUUUCCUGUAGGAUACAUGUGUUAAAUGAUAUUGACUAUCAGGAAAAAAAAUAGAUCCAGGGAUAUGUUUGAGUGCCAGUAAGCUAAUGCCUAUAUCAAAACAAAUGCAAAAUGACAAGUAUUUUUCAGAGUGAAGGACUAGGUUUUGUAAAUAGUGAACUCUUUAAUUUUCAGUUGCGUGCUCCAAAUAAGUUCACGGAGACUUUUUGAGUGAGUUUAUGUUGAGCACGAAACGUAUGUGGAGCAUGGAACAGAAAAUGAAAGAGUUCACUAUUUAUAAAACCUAGUCCUUCACUCGGGAAAAAUAACCAACUCUUGAUAUUAUACUUGUCAUUUUGCAUUCGUUUUGAGAGUGCAAAAGUUUGGUUUGAAUCUGUAACAUUUUACGGUGCAAUGUCCCAUUGUUAGUAUUCUUUAUCGAGCUGUUGAAAAAUCCACAGGAGAAAAGACCAUUGUAACUACAUGAUGUACAUUGCAACCCUAUGAGCAAAAUACAUUUUUUUUUUAAAUGACCUUUUUGGUUGAAAGUACUUUGAAAAUACGUAUUUUUCAACAUAUUGUGCUCACUGUGAAAAGAUUUACUUUGAAUUUGCGACCUCCCCAUUGUAGUGUGCCUCAAACGUUCCGGUUGCUUUUGGUGAUCCUACAGCUCUUUGACAUAAUGACACAUUAUCUAUGAAAACAAUAUUUCAAUCAAUAUUUUUUUUUCUUUUUAUCGGGGUGACUGUGUUAUACUUUUUGAAUUUAUACAAUGCAUCUUGACUCGGAGGUUGGUUUUCUGUUAUAAUUCUCACAACUGCUGUAGUUUUGAUUUUGUGGUUUGCUGUGUAUUUCAAAUGGCAUCUGUUCAUUCUAAGAAAAGGACCAAGCUUUUCGUUGUCCCUCCUGAUGCGGCUUGCCAGGAUGUCGCGCUGUCUCCCUAGCUCUGGUCCGGGUUGUCACUGCUGCUUCCUGACACUGAGCCUCCUGAGCAGGACGAGCGUUAGCUAUCCACACUAACACCCUGGACCAGAGCUUACUCUCUCCCUAUCUGAAGUGCCAUCCUUGUUCGGCUACUGGAAGUCGCUCUGGGUUCUUCCACUGAUUUAUAUGUUAUAUUUUUACUGCCCUCCUUGAAGUAUAUUUGGUUCUCCGUUGUAAUUAUUGUUUCACUUUUUUUUGUCUUAAUUCUUGUAUUAAAUAAAGUUUACUUGCUCCUACA